rnacentral:rRNA from 1 species
UUGGUUAAGCUACUAAGAGCACACGGAGGAUGCCUAGGCGCUAGGAGCCGAAGAAGGACGUGGCGAACAACGAUACUGCCUCGGGGAGCUGUAAGCAAGCUUUGAUCCGGGGAUUUCCGAAUGGGGAAACCCAGCUGGAGUAAUAUCCAGUUACUCAUCACUGAAUACAUAGGUGUUGAAGAGGCAUACCAGGGGAACUGAAACAUCUAAGUACCCUGAGGAAGAGAAAACAAGAGUGAUUCCGUCAGUAGCGGCGAGCGAACGCGGAACAGCCUAAACCGGUCAGCUUGCUGGCCGGGGUUGUGGGACGUCUCACAUGGAGUUACAAAGGAACAGAUUAGGCGAAGAGGUCUGGAAAGGCCCGGCAUAGAAGGUAAAAGCCCUGUAGCUGAAAGUUUGUUCCCUCCGAGACGGAUC